CAUCGAAGAAGGCCAGAAAAAGAUGAUGCAGGACACAAACAGCAGCUUUCUGGAAGAAGAUAAACUUCAUUCAGAGACAACAGUGCCCUUCAUUCCUGUAAAGGAGCGGAGAAAGGUUUCCCAAACUAAUUGGAUCAACGAUUAAGUGGGAGGCAUCCUGCCCCACCGAGCAGAGACAAUGGCAGAAGAAAGGGUCAACGCAGGCGCCGGCUGAAAACUGACACUUGAAUUAGAUAAUGAAGAAUAGAGGGCAGAAGAAAAGGAGAGAGGCCUAUCGGUGUGAGGUCUUCAAGGAGGUCCAGACUUUAACUCACCCGGUGUGGCCAGAGAGACAGUUUUGAUUGACUCAUGUUGCUUGGCAAUAUCAAUUUGCAAAGACAAGCUGAACUGCGACAUUCUUUACUCUGUAUUAUCCUGAUAAA